AUACGGAGGAUGCGAGCGUUAUCCGGAUUUAUUGGGUUUAAAGGGAGCGUAGGUGGGAUAUUAAGUCAGCUGUGAAAGUUUGGGGCUCAACCUUAAAAUUGCAGUUGAUACUGGUUUCCUUGAGUACGGUAUAGGUGGGCGGAAUUCGUGGUGUAGCGGUGAAAUGCUUAGAUAUCACGAAGAACUCCGAUCGCGAAGGCAGCUCACCGGGCCGGAACUGACACUGAUGCUCGAAAGUGCGGGUAUCAAACAGGAUUAGAUACCCUGGUAGUCCGCACAGUAAACGAUGAAUACUUGUUUUCGGCGAUAUAAUGUCGGAGGCAAAGCGAAAGCGAUAAGUAUUCCACCUGGGGAGUACGCCGGCAACGGUGAAACUCAAAUGAAUUGACGGGG
rnacentral:rRNA from 1 species